GCCAAUUAAAGCGGUACGCGAGCUGGGUUUAGAACGUCGUGAGACAGUUCGGUCCCUAUCCUCUGUGGGCGUAGGAGAAUUGAGGGAAUUUAUCCCUAGUACGAGAGGACCGGGAUGAGUAAACCUCUGGUGUGUCAGUUGUCCUGCCAAGGGCACUGCUGAUUAGCCAAGUUUAUAAGGGAUAAGUGCUGAAAGCAUAUAAGUACGAAGCCCAUCCCAAGAAUAGUUCUCCCAUCCCUUGUGGAUUAAGACCCCAUGUAGAUUACAUGGUUGAUAGGUUAGAUGUGUAAGCACAGCAAUGUGUUUAGCUGACUAAUACUAAUUGGUCGAAGACUU
rnacentral:rRNA from 1 species